GAUGAACGCUGACAGAAUGCUUAACACAUGCAAGUCAACUUGAACUUCGGUUUGGGUGGCGGACGGGUGAGUAACGCGUAAAGAACUUACCUCACAGAUAGGGACAACAUUUGGAAACGAAUGCUAAUACCUGAUAUUAUGAUUUUAGGGCAUCCUAGGAUUAUGAAAGCUAUAUGCGCUGUGAGAGAGCUUUGCGUCCCAUUAGCUAGUUGGAGAGGUAACGGCUCACCAAGGCGAUGAUGGGUAGCCGGCCUGAGAGGGUGAUCGGCCACAAGGGGACUGAGACACGGCCCUUACUCCUACGGGAGGCAGCAGUGGGGAAUAUUGGACAAUGGACCAAGAGUCUGAUCCAGCAAUUCUGUGUGCACGAUGAAGUUUUUCGGAAUGUAAAGUGCUUUCAGUUGGGAAGAAAAAAAUGACGGUACCAACAGAAGAAGUGACGGCUAAAUACGUGCCAGCAGCCGCGGUAAUACGUAUGUCACAAGCGUUAUCCGGAUUUAUUGGGCGUAAAGCGCGUCUAGGUGGUUAUAUAAGUCUGAUGUGAAAAUGCAGGGCUCAACUCUGUAUUGCGUUGGAAACUGUGUAACUAGAGUACUGGAGAGGUAAGCGGAACUACAAGUGUAGAGGUGAAAUUCGUAGAUAUUUGUAGGAAUGCCGAUGGGGAAGCCAGCUUACUGGACAGAUACUGACGCUGAAGCGCGAAAGCGUGGGUAGCAAACAGG
rnacentral:rRNA from 1 species